GGGGUUGUGGCUCAGCGAUAGAGCACUUGCCUAGAACCUAUGAGGCCCUGGGUUUAAUCCUCAGCGCCUCA
rnacentral:tRNA from 1 species